rnacentral:rRNA from 1 species
GGGCUUCACACGUCAUACAAUGGUCGGGACAGAGGGUUGCCAACCCGCGAGGGGGAGCCAAUCUCAGAAACCCCAUCGUAGUCCGGAUUGCAGGCUGCAACUCGCCUGCAUGAAGUCGGAAUCGCUAGUAAUCGCGGAUCAGCAUGUCGCGGUGAAUA